CGAAAGCCUGACGGAGCAACGCCGCGUGAGGGAUGGAGGCCUUUGGGCUGUAAACCUCUUUUCUCAAGGAAGAAGAUCUGACGGUACUUGAGGAAUAAGCCACGGCUAAUUCCGUGCCAGCAGCCGCGGUAAUACGGGAGUGGCAAGCGUUAUCCGGAAUUAUUGGGCGUAAAGCGUCCGCAGGCGGCCGUUUAAGUCUGUUGUUAAAUCGUGGAGCUCAACUCCAUCACGGCAAUGGAAACUGUUCGGCUUGAGUAUGGUAGGGGCAGAGGGAAUUUCCGGUGUAGCGGUGAAAUGCGUAGAUAUCGGGAAGAACACCAGUGGCGAAAGCGCUCUGCUGGGCCAUUACUGACGCUCAUGGACGAAAGCCAGGGGAACGAAAGGGAUUAGAUACCCCUGUAGUCCUGGCCGUAAACGAUGAACACUAGAUGUUGGGGGAAUCGACCCCCUCGGUGUCGUAGCUAACGCGUUAAGUGUUCCGCCUGGGGAGUACGCACGCAAGUGUGAAACUCAAAGGAAUUGACGGGGGCCCGCACAAGCGGUGGAGUAUGUGGUUUAAUUCGAUGCAACGCGAAGAACCUUACCAAGGCUUGACAUCCUGCGAAUCUCUAAGAAAUUAGAGAGUGCCUUCGGGAACGCAGUGACAGGUGGUGCAUGGCUGUCGUCAGCUCGUGUCGUGAGAUGUUGGGUUAAGUCCCGCAACGAGCGCAACCCACGUUUUUAGUUGCCAGCAUUCAGUUGGGCACUCUAGAAAGACUGCCGGUGACAAACCGGAGGAAGGUGUGGACGACGUCAAGUCAUCAUGCCCCUUACGCCUUGGGCUACACACGUACUACAAUGCUGCGGACAAAGAGUAGCGAUCUUGCGAAAGUUAGCUAAUCUCAUAAACCGUGGCUCAGUUCAGAUCGUAGGCUGCAACUCGCCUACGUGAAGGAGGAAUCGCUAGUAAUCGCAGGUCAGCAUACUGCGGUGAAUACGUUCCCGGGCCUUGUACACACCGCCCGUCACACCAUGGAAGUUGGCCAUGCCCGAAGUCGUUACUCUAACCUUUUGGAAGAGGGCGCCGAAGGCAGGGCUAAUGACUGGGGUGAAGUCGUAACAAGGUAGCCGUAGCGGAAGCUGCGGCUGGAUCACCUCCUAA
rnacentral:rRNA from 1 species